ACUCAAGUCAUCGCCACUACUCGCCAGUUCAUCGCAAGGCGUGUGUGCCCACGCACGAACCCAAAUCAGGUCCACCGUAUCGCACACGACCUACACGUCGGCUUUAAGAGAAUUCUUUUAGUACUAACAGCUAGCCUUUGCGUCAAGAGCCAACAGCUAGCCUUUGCGUCAAGGUUGACCCAUCCGAAUCGGAACACCACCAAUCUCAAGGGAAUUCCCGUGUUAAAUUUGGCAGGUAGAGAGUGAGUGAUGUCGCCCUGUCGAAGAUCAGGUACAGUCAUGCAAGAGUAAAAGGCUGUCUAGAAACUACAUUAUUCCCCAGCUCCCCACCAUAAGGAAACGCUGAGGGCGCUGUGCUGCUAACAAAUAAAUGCUACAGAUUGUUGGUCAACAGCCAAGGUCUUGCAUUGCUGACGGCCUGAACAGAACAACUGACACUCCAGCCUUUUGGUGGCAAGGAGCAGCUGUGCGUGCCUCGAGCAAAUCGAGGAAAGGUGCUGGCCCAGAUGAAACUGAAGGAGGAGCAAAUAGAGAGAGACUUAUACCAUUGACCCCAUCUUCUAGUGCCUACAUAUACAAGUAGCAUGGCUUAGCAUACAGACAGUAGCUUUCUCUGUAGAGGGUGUAUCUAAGAACCAGCUGGUCGACUGCAGCAAUCACAUCUCACGUGUACCCAGACCACCAAAGGGAUAGGCAGAUUUGUGGACUGCAAGACUCAAAGCGCAAUCAACAGAGCGUGAGAUUAAAUACACUGCUGUCUGCUUCCCCUCUUGGCUUCCAAGUUUCAACAUCUGAAAUGAUGAAAGGGGGUUGUUCUUUCAGUCCAACUCACCGAAAACUCGACCUGCCUGUGGGCAGAGGCGAAGC
rnacentral:lncRNA from 7 species